rnacentral:rRNA from 2 species
CCAAUAGCGUAUAUUAAAGUUGUUGCAGUUAAAAAGCUCGUAGUUGAAUUUCGGGGUCUGUCCAUCGGUCGGGCUUUUUCGGUCCGCACUGUUGCGAUGGAUUCCUACCUUCUGAAUAACCGAUUUGCCAUUAAUUUGGUGGGUCGGGGAAGCAGGACUGUUACCUUGAAAAAAUUAGAGUGCUCAAAGCAGGCUAGUGCCUGAAUACAUUAGCAUGGAAUAAUAAAAUAGGACGGCAUGGUUCUAUUUUGUUGGUUUCUAGGAUCACCGUAAUGAUUAAUAGGGAUAGUUGGGGGCAUUAGUAUUCAAUUGUCAGAGGUGAAAUUCUUGGAUUUAUUGAAGACUAACUACUGCGAAAGCAUUUGCCAAGGAUGUUUUCAUUAAUCAAGAACGAAAGUUAGGGGAUCGAAGACGAUCAGAUACCGUCGUAGUCUUAACCAUAAACUAUGCCGACUAGGGAUCGGACGAUGUUAAUUUUUUAAUGACUCGUUCGGCGCCUUACG